rnacentral:rRNA from 1 species
AUGGACCUCGCCACAGGGGCCAUGGGCAGCCUGCUCCUCAAGCUUGGCCAACUUCUCAAGGAGGAGUACAAGCUGCAGACCGGUGUCAAGGAAGAUGUUGAGUAUCUAGAGAGAGAGCUAAAGAGCAUGCAUGCUGCCCUCCGCAAGGUUGGGGACGUGCCGCGAGACCAGCUCGACGAGCAGGUCAAGCUCUGGGCCAACGAAGUUAGGGACUUGUCGUUCAUAAUGGAGGACAUCGUCGACAAGUUCCUGGUGCGCGUCGAGGGAGUUGAGCCUGCCAUCAAGCCGCGCAAACUCAAGAAGGUCAUGAAGAAGAUGGGGAACUUGUUCAGCAAGAGCAAGACUCGCCAUGAGAUCUCGGAUGAGAUCAAAGACAUCAAGCUCCGCGUCAAGGAGGCGGCUGACCGACGUGAUAGGUACAGGGUCCACGACAUGGUUACUAAUCUAGCUGGUCCAACCACAGUUGAUCCUCACCUAUUGGCUCUGUUCAAGCACCAGAAAGAGCUUGUUGGUAUUGAUGAUUCAUUGAAUGAUCUAACCAAGAAGAUGGGUGAUGGGGAUUUUGAUGUGUCCAAGCAACUGAAGAUACUCUCUAUUUUCGGAUUCGGAGGCCUGGGCAAGACAACUCUUGCCAAAGCAAUGUAUGAUAAGCUCAAAGCGCAGUUUGAUUGCAGUGCUUUUGUUCCGGUUGGACAAAAUCCUAGCCUGAAGAAACUUCUCAAUGACAUUCUCUUUGGAAUUGACAAGCUAAAGCAUCGGGAUUCUACCUUAUUGUCAUGGGAUGAAAGGCAGUUGAUCGACGAACUUCGACUAUUACUUGAGAACCAGAGGUACUUGAUUGUCAUUGAUGACAUAUGGGAUAAAAAAACAUGUGAACUAGUCAAGUCUGCUUUGGUGUGUAACAAUUGCGGAAGCAGGAUAAUCACAACUACACGUAUACUCGAAGUUGCCACAAUGGCCAGUGAAGUAUACAAGCUACAACCACUUUCUCUUGAUUUAUCCAAGGAUUUAUUUCAUAGAAGAUUAUCUUGCGCUGCAAUAGAAUGGCAUAAUCAUCUUCCAGCAGAGGUAUACGAUAAAAUUUUACAUAAAUGUGGUGGUGUACCAUUGGCUAUAAUCACUAUAGCUAGUUUGCUUGUCAGUAAAUAUGUGAAGCUUUGGUCUAAGGUAUACACUUCAAUUGGUUUUGGGCAUGAAGAAAAUGAAGACGUGGAGAACACGAGAAAAAUACUUUUAUUUAGCUAUUAUGAUCUACCUUGUCACCUAAAGACAUGCUUAUUGUAUCUGAGCAUCUAUCCUGAAGACCAUCUGAUUGAAAAAGAUAGUUUGAUAUGGAAGUGGGUCAGCGAAGGUUUUAUCCACGAGGAACCAGGGGUAGGACUAUUCGAGAUUGGUGAGAGGUACUUCAAUGAGCUAGUGAACAAAAGCAUGAUAAUGCCUGUAGAGGAAGAUGAGUAUAAUGGCAUCCUAACUGGUGUCGUCUCCAUGACAUAA